rnacentral:misc_RNA from 1 species
AAAAAUAGAAAGCUAAUGUAAUUAUCCACCGUGGUGCUACCAUUUAAUUCAAUAUUUAAGUCUAAAGCAAACUACUAAGAGGGGAACAAAUAACAUGAAAAAUAUUACAGAAUCAUAUUCUUGUAGAAGGGGUUGGAACAAAGCAUCAAAGCCAGCAAAUAUCAAAAAUCUUAGUGCUCUAAACUGCUCUAUAUUCUAAUAGCAGU